GAUCCUGGCUCAGGAUGAACGCUAGCUACAGGCUUAACACAUGCAAGUCGAGGGGCAGCAUGAACUUAGCUUGCUAAGUUUGAUGGCGACCGGCGGCACGGGUGAGUAACACGUAUCCAACCUGCUGAGUGACUCGGGGAUAGCCUUUCGAAAGAAAGAUUAAUACCCGAUGGCAUAGUUCUUCCGCAUGGUGGAACUAUUAAAGAAUUUCGGUCAUCGAUGGGGAUGCGUUCCA
rnacentral:rRNA from 1 species